rnacentral:rRNA from 1 species
UUGUAUGAUCAAACGACCCGGAAUGCGCCUGAUCUUGUCAGAUCUCGGAAGCUAAGCAGAUUUAAGCCUGGUUAGUGCUUGCAAUAGGGGCCCACCAUUACACAAA